GUGUGUGUGUGUGUGUGUGUGUGUGUGUGGGUGGGUGUGUGGGUGGGUAUGUGGGUGUGUGUGUGUGGGUGUGGGUGUGUGUAUGCCAUAUGAGGCUUGUAAUACAAACACAGAUGAGAUUCGCUCAUUUGGCGUGUCCCGUAAUCAUUGUGAACUUCAGAAAACGUCCAACAGAGGUCAGCACAUGUUGCAGGGUCGCUCUCUCGGGGACCGAACAUCAAGCUCAGGGUUGCCAGGUCUGUGAUUGUGUAUCGCCUUUGCAUUUUGAGCUGAAUAUUAUUUUGAAUGCAUCAUUAUUUAUGGAAGGUUUAUCACCAGAUGUUAAUUAAUUUAUUCGUCUUCAGGAUGUUUCAUCUUGGUCAGGGUUGAGCUCAGGAACACACACACACACACACACACACACACACACACACACACACACACACACACACACAUAUACACACACACACAUACACACACACAAACACACACAAACACACACACACACACACACACACCUAGAGACAAUCAGGAAUCACUUAUCCACCUAUGCCCCUUUUCCACCAAGGCAGUUUGAAUGCAGGUUCGGAGCCUAAGUUAAUAUCAGUUCUUUCUUUCUCGACACCCAAAGCACCGGCUCUGAACCAGGAAAAGUGGUACCAAAAAACGCUGCCGGUCUAGACUUAAGAACCGCUGGUGUCAGGGGCCGGGGGCGGUGACCAACAAGGCAAAAGAGAACGUCGUUAGCACCAUCAGGAUUCUCCACGUUUGGAUGCCAAUCCCAUGGGAAGGCAAAGCGGUUCUUAGAAGGCUCGCCAGUGGAACCAGCACCAGCACCAGCACCAGCUCUGAACCUGCAGCCGGUUCUUUCUGGUGGAAACGAGGCACUACUGACAUGCUUCUGAAAGGCCUCGAGUGCGUGAGGUCUAAAGGACGCUUGGGGAAAGCAAUGCCCCUGUCUUGGACGCUUGUACUGAAGAAAGAUCUGGCAACCUGUGAGACGUGAUCUUACAGUUCUGGUGGUUCAGACCUCUGGACUUCACCACAAAGUUAAAGAGAACGACACACAUGAGGAAGCUGUGAAAGAUAACAGAACCUGCUCAGGUGCAGAAACACAGGACUGAACGUUUUUCCUCACUCAUGUGAAAGGUUGACGUUAUUUAAAGCAGCCACACGCUGGUUUAUCCAAUCAGGAUCGUUGAUGCGUGAAUAUGCAAAUGAGCAGAAGGUUGUGGCAGGGUUUAGGAAUGUAGAGUGUGAAACAUCAGAUGAUGAAGAUCCAGGGUUCAGUGUGAACCUGGAGAAAGUAGGAGCAGUGUGAAACCUCUAACUACAGUAAAUAAACCCUGGAUUGUGUUUAAACAGAGUUCACUAGGACCCUGGGGAACUAAUGUACUCACGUACGUACGAUAAAGCAGCUAUUUCCAUAUGUGAGGGGGUACAAACUUUUGAGCAUGCCUAUAACCAGCACUCUUGUAAUAUUUAAGAUGUUCACAGUAACAAGGUUUCUUGUUUCUUUUCUUCUUCUAAUUCAUUGCGUUUAUUUAUUUGUGUUUUUGCUUUUUGAUUUAUUUAAUAUAUUUAAUGUAUUUAAUUUAUUCCAUAUAAUUUGUUAUGUAUUUUUAU